rnacentral:rRNA from 1 species
GACGAACGCUGGCGGCGUGCCUUAUACAUGCAAGUCGAACGAGAAAGCAUCCUUCGGGAUGCGAGUAAAGUGGCGAACGGGUGAGUAACACGUAGGUAACCUACCUGUGAGUUGGGGAUAACCUGCCUAACGGCGUGCUAAUACCGAAUGAAGCACUGAGAUUAGAUUUUCAGUGUUAAAGAUAGCCUUUGGUUAUCGCUCACAGAUGGGCCUGCGGCCCAUUAGCUAGUUGGUAAGGUAAUGGCUUACCAAGGCAACGAUGGGUAGCCGGCCUGAGAGGGUGGUCGGCCACACUGGGACUGAGAUACGGCCCAGACUCCUACGGGAGGCAG